AGAUGUCACCAAUAUUGAUUGGAAAGCCUCCAGAUAUCUUCAGGGUGAGAAUUUCCUAGGAGUUGCUCUCAUCUUUGGUGUGACAGCUGUGCCAGGAGCACUGAUUUGUGAUGAUGGCAGAGAGGAAGACUCCUUCUGUAGGGCUUUCUGAGCCUGCCAGUCUGCUGAAAACCGGACUUUCCUGGCAGACCUUCACCAAGACGCAGUCCAAGCUGGUUCAGCUCUUGCAGGAUCAGACCCAGAGCAUACAUUCAUCAUAAAGAAAUCCAGUCUGUGUGCUCUAAGAUCAAUUCAUGUUGCAAAGUGAAGUGCAGUAAAGUGGGAACUACCAGCAGGCUCCCCUCAAUACAAGUGCCCUCCUGAUCUGAACUAAAGCCUCCUUCAGAAUAUCUCUAAGGCUAUUAGGAAGAUUAGAUUCCUAUAUUUAGGGCAUGUUUAGUAUCCCAUCUGUGCCUCAGUUUGGCCUGUUCUAUGAACAACUUGAGCUUUCUAGUUUAGCUUAAAAAUGCUUAAAUGCAUUUAAUGUGCCCUUUAUCCAACCUUUGGUGGAAGUACCAUCACUUCUUCCUCCUUCAUUAAGAAGGCUUUGCUGCUCUGCCCAACCUUGUCUUCCUCUCUGAUCCAGAUCUUUUCUUGCCCUUCUAUAUCUAUCUCAUUUCUGUCUGUUUCUCCAUUCCCUUCAUCACUUUUUUUUCCCCCUUGUCCUUCCUGACCUUGAACCUAAUCUUUGGUUGAGGACUGACGCUUUAAGCCAUACGAAGGAUUCAUACAUGCCUGGUAUGAGAAGCCUUAAUAUUCAUUCAUACUACUCAUCCUAGCUUCUUUUUGGAGGUGUUCUUAUUUUUUUUUUUUUUUAAUCUGUCCUUACAUAAUUUGAUUUCUGGAAAGACUUGUCAUUUUAUUUUAAUUUUUGUAUGUACUUGGACCACUGUAAAUAUAAAAUACCAUGCUAGCACUAACACAGCUGGAACUUCGAGGUCCUAUUUGCAAGUCUAGUUCAAGAGAACAUUUGGAAAUACUGAACAACUAUGCUUAAUUGCUUCUUGUUAGUACAUGUUUUUUUUCCUCUUUCAGGAGAAAACUAAAAACAGUGAGUCUUUUUAAUUGUUUAAGUACUUCUGUGGUUAUAUGUUGGGAAAAAAAAAACAACCCCAAAAAACUCAAGGCUUCUUAAAACAAAGUGUUAGCACUUACAGGUGAUGUUUUUAUAGGGAACUUCCUCAGUAAUUCUGUCAAAAUGGACACUACACAUGGAGUUUUCCAUUUCAGCAAAAAUCUCCUUUCCAUUCGAACCUCUGGUGGUAAUUCUAGACAAACCUGAGUCAAAAGGUUCAAUCUUUUUUAACACAAUUAAAAAUGUGGUUACUGCUCAUUGUGAUUUUACAAUUCAGUCAUUAGAUGGUGCUCAUGAGAUUAAAUUCACUGUUUGCUUGUCUUUUCAGUUUUUAUUUUAAUAAGCUGUAGACUACAGAGAGUUUGCGUUUACAUCUUCACAAAAUGCAUUUAACAUGGCUCUGUACUAACUAAAAUUUGUGGAAGAUUUACUACUCCUUUUGAUGCAAGAUCUUUACCAAUUAACUGCCUUGAUGAAAAACAUGCCACAAACUACUGUAUUGUUAGACACAAACCGAAAACAUAACCGCUGUUUUGGCAUAUAAAUCAAUCUGAAAAAAUUCAGUGCUAUAAUGUCAGCAUGCUAUUAACAAAGAAUAAAGCAAUGACUUUGUAGUACUUUGUAGUAAAGUAACUAUAAAAUUUGUGAAACACACCUGAGGGCUUACUUCUAGUAGUUAAAAAUAUAAGAGCUUUAACAAUAAGAAAGUUUUCCCUAUGAAUUUAUCAUUUUGUUUCUUUGUACUGGAACAAAGUUAUUUUUGAAAAGUGACCCGGUUCAUAUUUAAUACUAAAAUGAAUGCAACGUGAAGAUGGACCCCUUGCAUAAUGUAACUGAAACAUGAAUUUCAUUACUAUAACUAUGUGAGUGAAUGAUCAUUUUUGUAGCCUUCAUUUUGGGUGAUGCUCACAUCUGUCUGGUAAUUGAAACACAAUAAAAAGCACAAGACAGCAGAGGAGCAAGGCCUCAUGCCACAUUAAUGAGAAUCUUCUCUGAUGUAACAGCAAUAGGCAAAGAAAUAAGAUAAUUUCAAACAAACAAACAAACAAACAAACAAACAAACAACUGCUUACCUUCAGAAAACCUACAUAGUCCUCAGGUAAACAGGGAUCUCUAGAAGAA
ensembl:lncRNA